AAUGAUUAACAAGGGGAGGGCAAGCUUUAUCUUUCCAUCCAUGCAGUGCAGGCCACAGUGAACUAUAAAUAUGCUCUGCUCUGGCCAAUGGGGCACAAAAGGAGAGCUUCUUCAGCUGCAUACACUGAACCUUCACAUGAAAAGGCCUGAAAUCUUUUUCCAUGACAAGCACAGAUCUUGUCCCUCCUCUCAAACCACACUCCAACUAAACCCACUUUGUAUAGAUAAUCACAUGCUUUUCGCAUAGUUUAUCACUUCAAUUCAGCCAAUGGUUGCAAAGAGACAGCUCUGUUUCUUUGCCAAAACAAUGAUGUCUUUGUUGUUAAUCAAACUCCUUUAUUUUUUUUCCCUUGGCACAGUGCAAUGGAAUCUAUGGAGCUCUCAGUUCUGGUAAGUGCACAGAAUGAGGGUGCAGACCAGUUAUCCUCCCCUCCCC
rnacentral:lncRNA from 1 species